CCUACGGGUGGCCGCAGUGGGGAAUAUUGGACAAUGGGCGAAAGCCUGAUCCAGCCAUGCCGCGUGUGUGAAGAAGGCCUUCGGGUUGUAAAGCACUUUCAGUGGGGAAGAAAGCCUUGGGGCUAAUACCCUCGAGGAAGGACAUCACCCACAGAAGAAGCACCGGCUAACUCCGUGCCAGCAGCCGCGGUAAUACGGAGGGUGCGAGCGUUAAUCGGAAUUACUGGGCGUAAAGCGCGCGUAGGCGGUCUGAUAAGCCGGUUGUGAAAGCCCCGGGCUCAACCUGGGAACGGCAUCCGGAACUGUCAGGCUAGAGUGCAGGAGAGGAAGGUAGAAUUCCCGGUGUAGCGGUGCAAUGCGUAGAGAUCGGGAGGAAUACCAGUGGCGAAGGCGGCCUUCUGGACUGACACUGACGCUGAGGUGCGAAAGCGUGGGUAGCAAACAGGAUUAGAUACCCUAGUAGUC
rnacentral:rRNA from 1 species